UCUGCAGGAUUUACGCGCACGUUGGAACCGAAGAGAGCUCUGUUGUUGCAAUGUUCAGCCCACAAGAGCUUACUGGUGAAGGAAUGGGACAAGACCCAUCUUUAUGCAAAGCCAGCGUUACAGUAAUGUUCCAGCAUCUCAUAAUCUAUCCUGGGGAAUUCAGCUGCCUCCCAGGGUGAAUACAGGUAUUCCUGAUGACAGUCUGCCUCUAUCUUACAGAGCAGCUUGUUGCUAUAUACCAUUGAAAAGCCUUCAGAGCUGAGAGGUACUACUAACCAAUAACCUGCUUGGCUCAAAGGGCCAGCACCUUCUCUCUAAAGCCCAAGAGGAGUUUGAGGAAAACUAGGUGUCUGUGUUCACUCCAGGCUGAAGUUACAGGUCUGAGCAAAUAAGGUGUAUAAAAAAUGGAAUCUGUCUUGGAGGACAUCAGAAGAUACAAGGGCUUGGUUUUGUUACCCAGGCUGGUUUCAAGGCCAUAGCUUUAAGAGAUCCUCUCACCACAGAUUUCCAAAGUGCUGGGAUUGCAGGUGUGAUUCAUGGCACCCAGACUUUGCUGCCUUUCUUACAUGAUCC
rnacentral:lncRNA from 1 species